UGCAAGUCGAACGAUGAUUUCUAGCUUGCUAGAAUGAUUAGUGGCGAACGGGUGAGUAAUGUAUCGGAACGUAUCCAUAAUGGGGGAUAACUAAUCGAAAGGUUGGCUAAUACCGCAUACGCCCUACGGGGGAAAGCAGGGGAUCUUCGGACCUUGCGUUAAUGGAGCGGCCGAUAUCUGAUUAGCUAGUUGGUGAGGUAAAAGCUCACCAAGGCGACGAUCAGUAGCUGGUCUGAGAGGACGACCAGCCACACUGGAACUGAGACACGGUCCAGACUCCUACGGGAGGCAGCAGUGGGGAAUUUUGGACAAUGGGCGAAAGCCUGAUCCAGCCAUUCCGCGUGAGUGAAGAAGGCCUUCGGGUUGUAAAGCUCUUUCGCAAGGGAAGAAACGAUGCAGUCGAAUAAACUGUGUUAAUGACGGUACCUUGAUAAGAAGCACCGGCUAACUACGUGCCAGA
rnacentral:rRNA from 1 species